CCUUCUCUUUGCUCUGCGCGUUUUGCCUCUUUUCUCUCUCGUCACUGGCUUGAACACCGACCACCUUGUUCUCUCCUCUCCCGCGACCUGAGUGGCCUCCCCUCCUUCUUCUAUUGCAAUCUGAUUUGUGGUCUGUCUUCUCUCCCCUCACCGUCUGUCUUAGGUCCUCCACCCCAUCACCAGAUCUACAACUUUCUAUGGCGAUGGAAGUAGAACUCCGCAGUGCAAUGAAAGCCGGUGAAGGAUGAACGACGGGUAGGAGUAGAAAGCUGUGUUGGUGGGAAAACGACGUGGUGAGGAGAGAGAGAGAGAGACAGAACACCAGUGAGAAAGAAGGGACACCGCUGAGAGAGAGGAGUGACGUUGGUAAGAGAGACGCCGAUGAUAAAGGAAAAUUCUGCGGUGGACGGUGGCCGGAGAUGAGACAGAGUUGCGCAAGGAGAGAGAAAGGUGAUAGUACAUAGAGAGAAAUAGGAUAAAAGAAAUAAGGGUUAAAUAUGUUUUUAGUCCCUAUAAAAUUUUCAACCAUUACUUUUGGUCCCUAUUUUUAAGUUAAUUUUUGUAUUUUUAAAUGAAAUUGUGCAUAAAUGUUAAGAAUAUUGUAAAAAAAAUUCCCAAAAAAAACUAUAAUUUUUUAG
rnacentral:lncRNA from 1 species